AGGGAAUCUUCGGCAAUGGACGAAAGUCUGACCGAGCAACGCCGCGUGAGUGAAGAAGGUUUUCGGAUCGUAAAACUCUGUUGUUAGAGAAGAACGUUGUGUAGAGUGGAAAAUUACACAAGUGACGGUAUCUAACCAGAAAGGGACGGCUAACUAC
rnacentral:rRNA from 1 species